UAUAUGAUGCGGGGCCUUCUUCGUAUUACCCUACAGCGACAGCAGAAGGAACGCAAGGAUCGCACCACCAGCUUCAUGAUAUGGGUCCUUCUUCGUAUCCACCACCAACAGGGCCCACACAGGAUAACUUUGAGGCGAAUUUCGAAGAUUGGAGUCGGUUAUUUUCUACACCUAACCAGCAGGCCGAUCCUACCUUCCAGACACUUGUGGCCACCGGACGUCCAGGUAGAGACGUAGGGCCUCCAGAACGAC